GAUGAACGCUGGCGGCGUGCCUAAUACAUGCAAGUCGAGCGAAUGACGAGGAGCUUGCUCCUCUGAUUUAGCGGCGGACGGGUGAGUAACACGUGGGUAACCUGCCUGUAAGACGGGGAUAACUCCGGGAAACCGGAGCUAAUACCGGAUGAUAACGAGAAGCGCCUGCUUCUUUUUUGAAAGUCGGUUUCGGCUGACGCUUACAGAUGGGCCCGCGGCGCAUUAGCUAGUUGGUGAGGUAACGGCUCACCAAGGCGACGAUGCGUAGCCGACCUGGGAGGGUGAUCGGCCAAACGGGGACUGAGACACGGCCCAGACUCCUACGGGAGGCAGCAGUAGGGAAUCUUCGGCAAUGGACGAAAGUCUGACCGAGCAACGCCGCGUGAGCGAUGAAGGCCUUCGGGUCGUAAAGCUCUGUUGUCAGAGAAGAACAAGUACCGGAGUAACUGCCGGUACCUUGACGGUACCUGACCAGAAAGCCACGGCUAACUACGUGCCAGCCGCCGCAGUAACAC
rnacentral:rRNA from 1 species